UACGUAGGGGGCAAGCGUUGUCCGGAUUUAUUGGGCGUAAAGAGCGUGUAGGCGGCCAGACAGGUCAGCUGUGAAAACUCGAGGCUCAACCUCGAGACGUCGGUUGAAACCGUCUGGCUAGAGUCCGGAAGAGGAGAGUGGAAUUCCUAAUGUAGCGGUGAAAUGCGUAGAUAUUAGGAGGAACACCGGUGGCGAAGGCGACCAUCUGGACGACAACUGACGCUGAGGCGCGAAAGCGUGGGUAGCAAACAGG
rnacentral:rRNA from 1 species